UUAAUAUUGCAAAUAGUAUAAUUGAUUUAUAAUCAAUUUGAUUUACACUAAAAGCUCAUAGGUAAGGGUGGGUAAAAUAUUCGACUCGGCUUGAUUUGAAAAAUAUCGAGUUCGGAUCAGAUCGAGUUGUUAACAAAACCUGAUCGGAUGCUUUUGUGCCAACUCGAUUACUCGAUUCCAUCUGAAAACCCGAUCUGGUUGGCUUUAAAAUAAAAACUUCUAGAAAUUGAAAACUAAAAAUGAAAAACCAAAAACUAAAGUACUAAACCUAAACACUCGCACACAACAUACACAAAAACAAUUACAAGCAAACACAUUAGCAACACACACAGGCUACGUCGAUAAUUACAUGGCCACACCCACUCAUAGCCUCCCUUGCUUGCAGCCCACUAUCGACAGCCAUACCCAUAACCUCCCUCAACAACUUCCAAUCUCAACUUUUCAUCUCUAACAAAUGAAACACGAACACAAAAAACUAUCAAACACACGCAAAGAGUUCACAGAGCAAGCUACAACCAGUCACCAAAAAUAACACCCGCCCAAGCGCCGACGGCAACUGAAUCUGUUCCACGAGUAAACAAACUAGAUCUACCGAUCUGCUACUACCGAGUACUGGAUCUACUGCUCUAUUUCCACGCCUCCAAUCCUCCGCCAUCACUCGAUAUGAUUCAAGCUCCAUUUGAACCUGGAAGCGGCAACUCGAAUUUUUGUUGUUAACUUUGAGUUUUGUAAGCUUUGAGAUUGAGCCUUUGAUAUUGAUGGUAUAUACUAUAUAUAUUUUAUAUAUUAUAUGUGCA
rnacentral:lncRNA from 1 species